UACGUAGGGGGCUAGCGUUGUUCGGAAUUACUGGGCGUAAAGCGCGCGCAGGCGGUCCUUUAAGUCAGGGGUGAAAUCCCAGAGCUCAACUCUGGAACUGCCUUUGAUACUGGGUGUCUUGAGUAUGGAAGAGGUGAGUGGAAUUCCGAGUGUAGAGGUGAAAUUCGUAGAUAUUCGGAGGAACACCAGUGGCGAAGGCGGCUCACUGGUCCAUUACUGACGCUGAGGUGCGAAAGCGUGGGGAGCAAACAGG
rnacentral:rRNA from 1 species